AACGAACGCUGGCGGCGCGUUUUAAGCAUGCAAGUCGAACGGCAAGGUUGGUAGCGAUAUCGACCUUAGAGUGGCGAACGGGUGAGUAAGACGUAGGUGAUCUACCCCUGGGUGGGGGAUAGUCCGUGGAAACACGGGGUAAUACCGCAUGAGGCCUUGUGGGUGAAGCCAUGAGGUGAAAGGUGCAAUUGCACCGUCUGGGGAUGAGCCUGCGGCCCAUUAGGCAGUUGGCGGGGUAACGGCCCACCAAACCGACGAUGGGUAGCCGGCCUGAGAGGGUGUACGGCCACACUGGGACUGAGACACGGCCCAGACUCCUACGGGAGGCAG
rnacentral:rRNA from 1 species